rnacentral:lncRNA from 1 species
GUAUUCAUGAAUGUGCAGCUUUUGAAAGGGCACAAAAUUAAAAGACUGUGUGGUCAGCCCCAUCUUCUCCCCCAGUCCAUUCUAUUACCAACUUCCUUUUGGGGCUGUGAAUAUAUUUAAUUUCCUUUUCCUAUGCUAAGAAAUUGGAUAGAGGUACCUGCCCCUCAAAAUAUCUUCACAGAAUAAUGUGUUCAGUAUGAUAAAGACAAAAGGAACCUAUUCACUGUUGCAGCAUAUUUAACUCUUGUCAGUUUGUCAAAAUAUUUCUAAGUAGAAUGAAAGUUAGACAUUGAAGUUGCUAGAGUAAUUAUCGCUCUCACGAGAAUCAGGAAAAUAGUCCAUUAGGUGAAAAAUAGCAUUGGUCCUAAUGACAACGUUGGUAUCCACUUACUCAAGAGGAGGUGUUGGUAUUUAUUUUCUCUGUUGAUAAAAUAUUUCUCCUACUGCCAUGACACAUUGAUAACAGCAAAUGACUUCACUGUUUAUAAAAGACAAAAAUAAUGAUUAACAUUUUGACUGCACUUAGAAAAACAAGGAAACAUUUGUUUCCUGGUUUUUUUUUUUUUUUUUUUUUUUUUUGUCUCUCUAUUUUUUUUUUUUUUUUGAGAAACUGCUAAAAAUUCCACACUGUUUCUAAAGAAAGUUUCAUUUCAGAUAAAUUCCCAAUCCAUUUGGUUUCAUUUAAUAACUACCUUUGGAUGUAUAUACUUGUUUUAUAACUAAACAGAGCACUUCAAUAAUAGACUACUUUAAAAUGUUUGCAUUUCCAAAACCUGGGUAUCAUUAAGAAGUGAUGGCCAUUUAAUAAAGAUAAUAUCAGCAUAUUCUAUUAUCAUAGUGGAUGUCAUGUAGGUACUAAGCUAUUUAUAAUUGGCCAAAAUCAAAAUGCAUAGCCAAGCAUAAGUAGAAAAUAAUUUUUCAGAUUUGUAGUAAACCUUCACUAGCUUUUUUUUUUAGUUAUGGAUUAUUUCAUUGAAUUCUUUGAUGUUCUUGCCAGUAUUAUCCUCAUUUUGUAAACAAGAACUUUGGAGUUUCUAAAAAGCCAGAAACUUGAACCAGAUUAUACAGCUAAGCAAUGGAAGUUGGAAGAAAUUGCAUUUUUAAGCUUUUUACUUUUAAAUACUUCAAACUUACAGAAAAUGAGCAAGAAUAGUAUAACGAGUACCUUAUCUAUGCCACCAUGUGGAAUCAACAAUUGAUUGGAGGGUACAGUGAAUUUACCAUAAUCUCUUACCCUAAAUCAGCUUGUAUUGUGUAAGAACAAGGUUGUUCUCUUACAUAAGCUAAAUAUAAUUUGUAAGGGAUUUCGGGAAGCAAAUUUUCUUCUCAAUCAGAUAUGCUAAAUUGUUUCCCUGAUCUGGAUGAAGAGCGAGACUGUUAGUUACAUAUAUAUAUAACCUUUGAGCCAGUGCAUUGAUUUCAUUCCUGAGAACAUUGUUUUCUAGUUUAUGCUGUACUUUGGCAUAUUCGUAGUCAGCCAGCAAGUGUUAUUUUGAGUUGUCGGUGAAUGCAGUCUGAAAACAGUUCACAAAAUUCUCAUUAUUAUAACUCAUUUUGAGCCAACUUUUUAAUAGCCUGUGUGGCCUCUGCAUAGAAAUUAGAAACUGAGUAAGAAAUGAUAGUCAGCAGGUUUCAUCUUCCACAGUAUUAUUCAAUGAGUUACUGUAGUGACUCAAACAAAACAGAAUCCUUGGGUCUUCAAAAAUCUCUGAUUUCUGUAUGCCUUAGGAACACUUUAAAGUAGUUUAUUUUGUCGCAAACUUUCUAAGGAUUAUGACUGAAGACCAGAAUUGUUAUGGCUUCCCCAUCUUUACGGCCCAGACUUCCAGCAGAAUGUCAAGACUGCUUUAAAUAUUUCCUUGAGCACGGAACUCUGAAAGCUCCUAUGGCAUGUAUUCUAAGGAAGUUUUACUCUCCUCUUCGUAACACAUGUUGAAACCAAUGAAUCCUGACCUUCCUGACUUCAUAAAAUUUCCUGAGGUGAGCCGUGCACCUGCUAGCAUUUUGUAAUCUCUCAACAUCAUCACCUUUGCAAGGCAAGAUAAAAACAAACCAAUGUCUCCUCAUUAUUCUAGUGCAAGUGACAAAUUUGACUUUUAUUCAUGUUCCUUAGUAGAUAUACAGUAAGAGUGUACGUACAGUAGUAGACAUUUUAGAGGUAUGACUUGCCAAUCUCUGAGACAUCCGAGAUUGCCGAGCACUUUUGUUUAAUCACAAGCAGUAGGAAAUGACAUUUCUGACACUAAACAUUGCUGCUGUCUUGCCCCAGACACUUCAUAUAAUAGAUUCCUGAGUAGACAGUGAUAUUCUAGUUUUGUUUUUCCUAUGUCUAAGAUCUCCAAGCUUAAAGGUGUUCUAUUCUUGAAGUUUCCAAAGUCUCUUCUCUGUAUCUGACCCACCAAAUUUGAGUAUGACUCCCUGUCUUUGCUUCAUCGUCUGCCAGAGGAGAGAAGAGGCAUCAGGGAUGCAUAUUCUCUAGUGUUUGUUGUCCUCAUCCCUGCAGUUCUUUUCUUCAUUCCAAAAAUCAACAAACGGGUCGAAAGCAUUCUGUCCAAGAUAAGAACAAACUAACCUGGAAAAGGACACUCCAGCAGCUCAAUAGCACUUGAAAUCAUUUUAAAUACAGCUAAUUGUUUCUUCCAGUUGCCUGAAAAAUAUUCACAAGUAGGUGACUCUAACUGUAAAUAAAUAUUUUUUCCUUCAACAUUAAAUAAUCUAAGAGCUCAAAUGAGCCCAAACUUGAGGAAAUGAGCAAUUGGAACUCUAGAAGAACAUAUUGUUUUUUACUGUUAAAAUUGUCUUCAUUCGAGACACGUGAUACUGUUUUUUUGCCAGAUGCCAUCUGUAGUUCAACUCCUGGGAUUUCAUGAUAAGGAAAUUCUUUAAGAAAGCUGUCUUUGAUUAUCAAAUAACAUUUUCCUCCAUUUCCUUUCGGCUUGAUCGCUGAAAUGUGUUGACGUUUUGGUUCUCCAAUGUGACCAAUAGAAAAGCAAUUGUAAAAAUCUAGCAUUCAGUUGUAUAUGAAAACUAAUGUCCCCUUCAUUAAUUCUCCCCAAACCUACAGAAUGUCUAUCCUGCACUGGUUUCUAGAGCUACAAAGGUGGGACAAUUUACCUAUAAGAAACUCAUAUCCCAGGGAAAGAAUAGCAUGUUAAAGAAUGACAGUGAUGUGAUCAGAGAGAAAUGCCCAGAGAGCUAGAGGAACACAGGAGAGGGGUCCUGACUACCUGGUUGCUGGUUAGGAGAUGGUUUUUCAUCAUUCACUUAGGGGCAGAGGCCCAGGAAUAGGCAGGGGUUAUAGACUCUUGCCAAACUUAAUUUCAUUGCUCUAAUACUUAGCAGCAGCGCAAGUGUUAUUUGUCUUUUCAAAACGAAUUAAUUUGAAUCCUACUCUUAAAGCCAAGAAAGCCUCUGGUAUAGAUUUCAUUUUCUUUAAUGUUUUUUCUCGUCUCUCUUUAUAAACCUCAGUUUUCUCUUCUCUAAUGUGAGAAUAAUAAAAGUCAAGACCACCACAUAUGGCAUUGGAGGCUGUGUAUUACACAACUCCAAGAGGCACCAUUUAUAUAGACCAGUAGAUGAGUGGUGCCCCCUGGAGUUGUGCAGUUAUUAUUAACAGUACCUAACCAUAGGGCUAUGAGGAAGAGUGCAUGAAGAUCCACGUAAAGUGGUAAGUACGCAAGGAUUCAGUGCUUGCAGCAUUGCUAUUAUGAUGAGGACAAGAUGAGGAGGAUGAUUAUCUCAUAAAAAUUCUUUUUUAUCUUUUCAAAGUGUUAGUGAGAAAAUUCUAGAAGCUAAUGAUACACAAAUGUAACUCCUAAUGAAAUAAGUGAAUAUUACAUAUUUAAAGGGACUUCUCUGCUAUAUACAUUGUGAUUAAUCAAGACAACAUUGUGAAGUGUCUUAUACUUUUUUGGGGGGGUAAUAUAGAUGAUUGUCUUUUUUAUUUCUGAAUGGAGGAAUUUUAGUAGGUACCCUGUGUUUCUACUUUUUUUUUUUUUGUUACAGUGUAAUGGACUUUUUAGUAGUAACUUUCCAUAGGUUUUAGAAAUCUAUAAUAAAUUGUAUACUUCAGAGUAAAUUAAUAGUAGCUGGCUUCAGAGAUAGACUAGAAUGGCUAGAUUUUUAAAAUCUUAAUAUUUGAAAAAAAGCAAAAUUAAUGCAUUUAUGCUUCCUAUUAAAGUAUAAAUCUAGCAUUAAGACAUUUCAGUGACUAUGCUUUGUGCUUAAAUCCUUGAAGAGCCAUAAAGAUGUGUUUGGUUCAUUAUUGAUCAUUUCCUUAAAAGUGUGUACCUAUUAUUGAUAUUUUAGUAUUUAUGUUCCAGAAUAAUA